rnacentral:rRNA from 1 species
ACACGACUACAUUAGAUACCCGUGUAGUCCUAGCCGUAAACGAUACUCGCUAGGUGUCGGCCACGGUGCGACCGUUGUCGGUGCCGUAGGGAAGCCGUGAAGCGAGCCACCUGGGAAGUACGGCCGCAAGGCUGAAAAACUUAAAGGAAUUGGCGGGGGAGCACAACAACGGGUGGAGCUUGCGGUUUAAUUGGAUUCAACGCCGGAAAUCUUACCGGGACCGACAGCAACAUGAAGGCCAAGCUGAAGACUUUGCCGGAUUAGCUG